ensembl:lncRNA
AGUAAACAGAACAGAGACUAGGAGAGAUAGAGAACAGAACAGAGGCUAGGAGAGACAGAGCGCAGAACAGAGGCUAGGAGAGACAGAGCGCAGAACAGAGGCUAGGAGAGACAGAGAGCAGAACAGAGGCUAGGAGAGACAGAGCGCAGAACAGAGGCUAGGAGAGACAGAGAGCAGAACAGAGGCUAGGAGAGACAGAGAGCAGAACAGAGGCUAGGAGAGACAGAGCGCAGAACAGAGGCUAGGAGAGACAGAGCGCAGAACAGAGGCUAGGAGAGACAGAGAGCAGAACAGAGGCUAGGAGAGACAGAGAGCAGAACAGAGGCUAGGAGAGACAGAGAGCAGAACAGAGGCUAGGAGAGACAGAGAGCAGAACAGAGGCUAGGAGAGACAGAGAGCAGAACAGAGGCUAGGAGAGACAGAGCGCAGAACAGAGGCUAGGAGAAACAGAGCGCAGAACAGAGGCUAGGAGAGACAGAGAGCAGAACAGAGGCUAGGAGAGACAGAGCGCAGAACAGAGGCUAGGAGAGACAGAGAGCAGAACAGAGGCUAGGAGAGACAGAGAGCAGAACAGAGGCUAGGAGAGACAGAGAACAGAACAGAGGCUAGGAGAGACAGAGAGCAGAACAGAGAGACAGACAGAGAGCAGAACAGAGGAGAGACAGAAAGCAGAACAGAGAGACAGACAGAAAGCAGAACAGAGAGACAGACAGAAAGCAGAACAGAGAGACAGACAGAAAGCAGAACAGAGAGACAGACAGAGAACAGAACAGAGAGACAGACAGAAAGCAGAACAGAGAGACAGACAGAGAACAGAACAGAGGAGAGACAGAAAGCAGAACAGAGGAGAGACAGAGAGCAGAACAGAGGAGAGACAGAGAGCAGACAUGAGCCACAGUUUAACCACACAUUUCAGAGAUGGAGUGCUGAUCUCGGAUCAGGUCCAUCUUCUCAUUCAGUCUAGGAGUGCUGAUCUCGGAUCAGGUCCACCUUCUCAUUCAGUCUCUGAAUACUGAUCUCGGAUCAGGUCC